AGUGAACGCUGGCGGUAGGCCUAACACAUGCAAGUCGAACGGCAGCACAGUAAGAGCUUGCUCUUACGGGUGGCGAGUGGCGGACGGGUGAGGAAUACAUCGGAAUCUACUUUUUCGUGGGGGAUAACGUAGGGAAACUUACGCUAAUACCGCAUACGACCUACGGGUGAAAGCAGGGGAUCUUCUGACCUUGCGCGAUUGAAUGAGCCGAUGUCGGAUUAGCUAGUUGGCGGGGUAAAGGCCCACCAAGGCGACGAUCCGUAGCUGGUCUGAGAGGAUGAUCAGCCACACUGGAACUGAGACACGGUCCAGACUCCUACGGGAGGCAGCAGUGGGGAAUAUUGGACAAAGGGCGCAAGCCUGAUCCAGCCAUACCGCGUGGGUGAAGAAGGCCUUCUGGUUGUAAAGCCCUUUUGUUGGGAAAGAAAAACAGCAGGUUAAUACCCCGCUGUUCUGACGGUACCCAAAGAAUAAGCACCGGCUAACUUCGUG
rnacentral:rRNA from 1 species